GUGGGGAAUAUUGGACAAUGGGCGAAAGCCUGAUCCAGCAAUGCCGCGUGAGUGAUGAAGGCCUUAGGGUUGUAAAGCUCUUUUACCCGGGAGGAUAAUGACAGUACAGGGAGAAUAAGCUCCGGCUAACUCCGUGCCAGCAGCCGCGGUAAUACGGAGGGAGCUAGCGUUGUUCGGACUUACUGGGCGUAAAGCGCACGUAGGCGGCGAUUCAAGUCAGAGGUGAAAGCCCGGGGCUCAACCCCGGAACUGCCUUUGAAACUAGAGUGCUAGAGUCUUGGAGAGGCGAGUGGAAUUCCGAGUGUAGAGGUGAAAUUCGUAGAUAUUCGGAAGAACACCAGUGGCGAAGGCGACUGACUGGACAAGUAUUGACGCUGAGGUGCGAAAGCGUGGGGAGCAAACAGGAUUAGAAACCCGAGUAGUCC
rnacentral:rRNA from 1 species